rnacentral:rRNA from 1 species
GACAGAGGUGCCGAGCGUUAGGCGGAAUCACUGGGCUUAAAGCGUGUGUAGGCGGACCUCUAAGUACCUUGUGAAAUCCCACGGCUCAACCGUGGAACUGCUUGGUAUACUGGUUGUCUUGAGCCACUUAGGGGCAGUCGGAACAGACGGUGGAGCGGUGAAAUGCGUAGAUAUCGCUUGGAACGCCGAAGGUGAAAACAGGCUGCUGGGGUUGUGCCGACGCUGAGACACGAAAGCAUGGGGAGCGAACAGG